UAGGGCAGAGGUGGAAGUGCAGCAAUGCAUGGAGCUGACUGUUACUAAUCGGUCGAGGGCUUGACCUG
rnacentral:rRNA from 3 species